rnacentral:rRNA from 1 species
UGGCGGACGGGUGAGAAACACGUGAGAAACCUGCCUCGGAGUGGGGAAUAACUCGGGGAAACUCGAGCUAAUACCGCAUAUCUUCACAUGAUCGCAUGGUCGAGUGAAGAAAGAAUUUCGCUCUGAGAGGGUCUCGCGGCCUAUCAGCUUGUUGGUGGGGUAACGGCCCACCAAGGCAACGACGGGUAGCUGGUUUGAGAGAACGAUCAGCCACACUGGGACUGAGACACGGCCCAGACUCCUACGGGAGGCAGCAGUGGGGAAUCUUGCGCAAUGGGCGAAAGCCUGACGCAGCAACGCCGCGUGCGGGAUGACGGCCUUCGUGGUUGUAAACCGCUUUCAGCAGGGACGAAAAUGACGGUACCUGCAGAAGAAGCCCCGGCUAACUACGUGCCAGCAGCCGCGGUAAUA